rnacentral:rRNA from 1 species
CGGGGGAUCAUACCACCUACC